rnacentral:misc_RNA from 1 species
GGUGAAGAACGUAGCGAAAUGCGAUAAGUAAUGUGAAUUGCAGAAUUCAGUGAAUCAUCGAAUCUUUGAACGCACAUUGCGCCCCUUGGUAUUCCGAGGGGCAUGCCUGUUCGAGCGUCAUAUUAACCACUCCCGCUUGCGGGGUCUUGGGCUUCGCCUCCGGGCGGGCCUUAAAAUCAGUGGCGGUGCCGUCGGGCUCUACGCGUAGUAAAUUUUCUCGCGAUAGGGUCCCGGUGGAUGCUUGCCAACAACCCCCAACUUCUUAAGGUUGACCUCGGAUCAGGUAGGGAUACCCGCUGAACUUAAGCAUAUCAAUAAGCGGAGGA